rfam:Chaetomium globosum CBS 148.51 scaffold_2 genomic scaffold, whole genome shotgun sequence.
GCCCGGCUAGCUCAAUCGGUAGAGCGUGAGACUCUUAAUUAUCUCACGUAAUCUCAGAUCUCAAGGUUGUGGGUUCGACCCCCACGUCGGGCU